AUACAUGCAAGUCGAGCGAACAGAUAAGGAGCUUGCUCCUUUGACGUUAGCGGCGGACGGGUGAGUAACACGUGGGUAACCUACCUAUAAGACUGGGAUAACUUCGGGAAACCGGAGCUAAUACCGGAUAACAUUUGGAACCGCAUGGUUCUAAAGUGAAAGAUGGUUUUGCUAUCACUUAUAGAUGGACCCGCGCCGUAUUAGCUAGUUGGUAAGGUAACGGCUUACCAAGGCGACGAUACGUAGCCGACCUGAGAGGGUGAUCGGCCACACUGGAACUGAGACACGGUCCAGACUCCUACGGGAGGCAGCAGUAGGGAAUCUUCCGCAAUGGGCGAAAGCCUGACGGAGCAACGCCGCGUGAGUGAUGAAGGGUUUCGGCUCGUAAAACUCUGUUAUUAGGGAAGAACAAAUGUGUAAGUAACUGUGCACGUCUUGACGGUACCUAAUCAGAAAGCCACGGCUAACUACGUGCCAGCAGCCGCGGUAAUACGUAGGUGGCAAGCGUUAUCCGGAAUUAUUGGGCGUAAAGCGCGCGUAGGCGGUUUCUUAAGUCUGAUGUGAAAGCCCACGGCUCAACCGUGGAGGGUCAUUGGAAACUGGGAAACUUGAGUGCAGAAGAGGAAAGUGGAAUUCCAUGUGUAGCGGUGAAAUGCGCAGAGAUAUGGAGGAACACCAGUGGCGAAGGCGACUUUCUGGUCUGUAACUGACGCUGAUGUGCGAAAGCGUGGGGAUCAAACAGGAUUAGAUACCCUGGUAGUCCACGCCGUAAACGAUGAGUGCUAAGUGUUAGGGGGUUUCCGCCCCUUAGUGCUGCAGCUAACGCAUUAAGCACUCCGCCUGGGGAGUACGACCGCAAGGUUGAAACUCAAAGGAAUUGACGGGGACCCGCACAAGCGGUGGAGCAUGUGGUUUAAUUCGAAGCAACGCGAAGAACCUUACCAAAUCUUGACAUCCUUUGAAAACUCUAGAGAUAGAGCCUUCCCCUUCGGGGGACAAAGUGACAGGUGGUGCAUGGUUGUCGUCAGCUCGUGUCGUGAGAUGUUGGGUUAAGUCCCGCAACGAGCGCAACCCUUAAGCUUAGUUGCCAUCAUUAAGUUGGGCACUCUAGGUUGACUGCCGGUGACAAACCGGAGGAAGGUGGGGAUGACGUCAAAUCAUCAUGCCCCUUAUGAUUUGGGCUACACACGUGCUACAAUGGACAAUACAAAGGGCAGCUAAACCGCGAGGUCAUGCAAAUCCCAUAAAGUUGUUCUCAGUUCGGAUUGUAGUCUGCAACUCGACUACAUGAAGCUGGAAUCGCUAGUAAUCGUAGAUCACCAUGCUACGGUGAAUACGUUCCCGGGUCUUGUACACACCGCCCGUCACGCCACGAGAGUUUGUAACACCCGAAGCCGGUGGAGUAACCAUUUAUGGAGCUAGCCGUCG
rnacentral:rRNA from 2 species